GCCAGGUGUGGUAGUGUGUACCUGUAGUCCCAGCUACUUGGAGGCCGAAGUGGGAGGAUUGCUUGAGCCCAGGAGUUCGAGGCUACAGUGAGCUGUGAUGGCAUGACUGCACUCCAACCUGGGCAACAGAGUGAGACCCCAUCUCUU
rnacentral:SRP_RNA from 1 species